rnacentral:rRNA from 1 species
CUAGCUGCGAGAAUUAAUGUGAAUUGCAGAACACAUUGAACAUCGACACCCUGAACGCAAAUGGCGGCCUCGGGUCCAUCCCGAGGCCACGCCCGUCUGAGGGUCGGCU